GUUUUAGAGGGAAUCCCCCCCAUUUUCAGGUACUGCCUAUUAUUAUUACUAGUGUAACGGAUCGCCUGGCACCCCGACUGGGUACCUCCGUUGAAGGAUGCUCCCAGCACUUCCUGAGGACCCCAAGCACUGCAGCAGACACCAAAACCACCGAACCGUAGGAGCAUAUGAAUGCUCUCAAGCAUAUGAAUGCUGUAGACAGUUGAAUAGGAACCAUACGAAUAGGUUUACUCUCCUAGCAGUCAAACUGGAACAGCAUACAAUAAAUCCUUCCCCCAAUAAUGAGACGACACUUCACUUUGAGGGUUAAAACAGGAACUACCUGUACUGUCACAUACAGUCUCUUUUAUUCCCAAUCCACAAACAUAGUACAGCCCACAGGGCGUUACAAAACAACCAAUCAAUCCGUGCAAUACACCCAGACACUCCCACACAAAAUCCUCCCCUCUGCCUGUGAUAUGAUUACUGAACACAAUGGGUAAUCUCAUUAUCACCGGCAGAGGAAUACAGUUUUUACACAAUAUUUAUAACUUCUAAAAUAUACAUGUCACAAACAUAAAACAUACAUUUUCAUAAUCAAUCCAUUCAGGGGAACAACCUAUUAAAAAAUGGCACGAAUCAGACCAGGGGUUCAAAAGUUAAGGGAAAGUCCUUUGUGACUAAAUGAAGCAUGGCUUUCCGGCCCAAACCAGUUUCAGAGUCUUCUAUCCUGGAGAUAAUUGAGAGUAAUUCAAUUAUCUCCCAGGACAGACACAAGACUCCAUUAAGCACAUGGUUGCAAAAAGACAUAAAACACUUUAAAAUACAUAAAGUCACCUUUUACAGAUAAGACACAGACAUUUCACAUAUCCCCAGAUAGCUGGGAUCUGAGCGCACAAAACUACCAAAUAGCGCUCAGAUCCUAUUCACACAGUUCAAUUGCCAUGGAGCCGAAGUCUUUAACUACACGAAUGCGCUCCAUGGCAUAGCUAUUUGGGUUAACACAUUCACAUAAAGUCUAGUCCAUAGUCCAAAGGCAAGAGGCGGGCAAGCAGCCCCCUCCAAGGACACGUGGUGAGGCCGGUUUCGCCACAACUAGUAUUUUCGUUCAGUUACAUAAAGCGCUACUCUAAUUUUUCUUUGUAUCAUUGCUCCCCAGUUGUUUGGUCAAGCAUUUUUUUGAAUGUUUGGAUGUCCCCUUGGCAUCUUCAACCCUGCUUAGGUUACUGCUAAUGAGCAAGUUCCAUGUAAGCAUUGGCACUAUUCAUUUUGUCCAUAUUUGGACAACAUUGGUUGGCUGUGGAAAGAUCGGAAGGCAUAUAAUUAGAAGGUGAACCAACAUGCCACCAGCCAUAAGUGAGUCCACUCCAAGUCAGUCCACAAAAAAAAUAACUUGCAACACAUUGGAUAUAAUUUCUGGCAGAUUUUCUGAGAUUAAACUUGCAACGUUUUGACUCAUGAGAG